GAUCUAACAAUAUACAAUUUUGCCAAUCCCUAUUUACUGAUUGAUAAUCCAUUUGUGCACAUUUCCCAUGAUGCUCAGUCAGCCAUAACAACUGAAGUGCCAACUGUUUGAUACCACUGCUGCCCUAGAAAGUUUAAAAGUCACUUUGUUACUAAUAAAUACUUUUUCUCCUUUCACAUGUAUUGCAGGUGCUUUGGUGAAAUCCUGAUUUUCUGGAAAUUAUUCUGGCCCAUUUAAAGCUUGCGGUGUAACAUGGAACAUUCUUAACAAAUGGAUUACAGUUACAAUGUGAUAUGCUUGAACUUGGGGAACAGCAAUAGAACAUAAUUCCUUCUAUGCAGCACUUCGUAUAGUAC